CCAGAGUAUCAAUUGGAGGGCAAGUCUGGUGCCAGCAGCCGCGGUAAUUCCAGCUCCAAUAGCGUAUAUUAAACUUGUUGCAGUUAAAAAGCUCGUAGUUGAAUUUCUGCUGCAUCGUGGUUCUUCGCUAUGUCGAGUGAUCUUCGUUGUGGCUUAGUUGGGGCAUGUUUUCAUGACCCGACGUUUACUUUGAGAAAAUUAGAGUGCU
rnacentral:rRNA from 1 species